CACGUAGUUAGCCGGCGCUUCUUCUGCACCUACCGUCACCCCGAAAGGCUUCGUCGAUGCUGAAAGAGGUUUACAACCCGAAGGCCGUCAUCCCCCACGCGGCGUCGCUGCGUCAGGCUUCCGCCCAUUGCGCAAUAUUCCCCACUGCUGCCUCCCGUAGGAGUCUGGGCCGUGUCUCAGUCCCAGUGUGACCGGUCGCCCUCUCAGGCCGGUUACCCGUCGUCGCCUUGGUAGGCCAUCACCCCACCAACAAGCUGAUAGGCCGCGAGCCCAUCCCCAACCGAUAAAUCUUUCCACCCGCAGACCAUGCGGCCACGAGUCAUAUCCGGUAUUAGACCCGGUUUCCCAGGCUUAUCCCAGAGUCAGGGGCAGGUUGCUCACGUGUUACUCACCCGUUCGCCGCUCGAGUACCCCCGAAGGGGCCUUUCCGCUCGACUUGCAUGUGUUAAGCACGCCGCCAGCGUCUCGUCGUGCCACGGAGUCAACUAC
rnacentral:rRNA from 1 species